rnacentral:lncRNA from 1 species
UUCAAGUUAUUAAUACUCGAAUAGGUAAAUUCAAGUCGAGCUCUAAAAAUUUGAGCAAACUAAACUUGAAUUAAUUUUAAAUUAAUUUCAACUUUACCAGUAAUACCAAAUACACAACAACAGAGAAAUCUCAGCUGCAAAGAUAUGGAGGAAGAAGAAGAUGAAUUUUCUUCAAGGAAACAUGAGGAACAUCUACGCUUGUCAAGAGGGGCGAAGAAUUUUCUUGUUCACUUCCAUGGUAGGGUAUUUAUACUUUGAAUUCUGUAUUAAAAGCGAGAGCUUUUCUAAGUCGAUGAUUUGGCUUACAAGGGAAAAGGAGAAGCAGAAAUCUACUGGAAUUCUUCAAAGAGAGCAUUUGCCUUUAUUCCACCGAAUAAAAAUGUUUCCACUGAAGAUGAUUUGAAUGUCAAGAAUGGGAAAAUCGAAGGAGGUACUAAAUCUGAGAUUCGGGUUUCGAUUGGGAACUGGAAGGAUGAACCUUCGUUGGCUUCUUGGGCGACAAAAGAAGGUUAUUCACUUAACCUUUACGCCUACUAAAAUCUAGUUUCUUUCUUUUUCUAUUUCUUGAAUUUUUUUUUUCUCGGGAAAAUUUAUAUUCCGUCAUUAUGUUCGAGGCAGAACUUGAGUGUCUUUAGUUUUAAAAUUUGCACAUUGUAAAUUGCAGUAGCGCUUUCACUUUGGAUUAACAAGACAAAGCUCUGAGAAUUUCAUGCAAUUUUCCUUCCAAACCUAAGAAUCCUUAUUCUCCAUAUAAAAUUUUUAUCAAUCAGUGAAUCUAGAUGAACCAAAAGUAGAGUGAAAUCCAAACAAACACAGAUCAUAAUAGUUGCUGUUGCCCAAUGAACCAGUAGUAGUGGAGUACAGUUAAUUAAAUAGUGUCUCACAAAUACAGAAAAUAUUGAAAGAUCAUAUUUGAAUUUCUAAAUUUAUUCAAACACAAUAACUCAAUAAGACCCACAAGCAUUGAAUGGAGUUACCUAGAAACAAGUUCUAAUACACUUACAAUUCAUUGAGUUUAGAACAUUUCCUUCAUCAAAUCAAAUACUCCACAUAAUUUGAACAGAAAAUUCAUCACCUUUCUCCUUGAUCCACACAACACUUUCCAUAGUUGGAGCUGCAUGCAAUCAUAUCCUUUCCAUUGAGUAAGACUUCUCCCAUAACUUUGAGGCCAAGAAUCACAGUUUACCCAAGAAUGAACCACCUGAAAAAAAAAAAAAAAAUCAAUUUAAUUCAACUGAGGAAUAGAAAGAAAAACGAGUUCAUAUUAGCCAUGGGAUAUGUGUGUUUGUUAACACAAAUAAAUAAUAAUAAUAAUAAUAAUG